UGGCAGUGUUAUUAGCUGGC
rnacentral:miRNA from 1 species